CAAAAAAUAAUUUAAUUUAAAAUAUAAAUUUUGGAGAUUUGCAAUAUGGUUUAAACCCAUUUUUUUGA
rnacentral:tRNA from 1 species